GNNNNNNNUGGGGCUACAAUGCAAGUCGAGGGGCAUCACAUGAGGUAGCAAUACUGAUGGUGGCGACCGGCGCACGGGUGAGUAACACGUAUGCAACCUACCUUCCACACGGGGAUAACCCGGAGAAAUCCGGACUAAUACCCGAUAAUACAGGGGUCCCGCAUGGGAAUAUUUGUUAAAGAUUUAUUGGUAGAAGAUGGGCAUGCGUUCCAUUAGUUAGUUGGUGAGGUAACGGCUCACCAAGGCGACGAUGGAUAGGGGAACUGAGAGGUUUAUCCCCCACACUGGAACUGAGACACGGUCCAGACUCCUACGGGAGGCAGCAGUGAGGAAUAUUGGUCAAUGGAGGCAACUCUGAACCAGCCAAGUCGCGUGAAGGAUGAAGGUCUUAUGGAUUGUAAACUUCUUUUAUACAGGAAUAAAUUGAGUCACGUGUGGCUUUUUGCAUGUACUGUAUGAAUAAGGAUCGGCUAACUCCGUGCCAGCAGCCGCGGUAAUACGGAGGAUCCGAGCGUUAUCCGGAUUUAUUGGGUUUAAAGGGUGCGCAGGCGGGAUGUUAAGUCGGCGGUGAAAUUUUGCGGCUCAACCGUAAAAGUGCCUUCGAAACUGGUUUCCUUGAGUGUAGAUGAAGUAGGCGGAAUUUGUGGUGUAGCGGUGAAAUGCAUAGAUAUCACGAGGAACUCCGAUUGCGCAGGCAGCUUACUAAACUACUACUGACGCUCAGGCACGAAGGCGUGGGGAUCAAACAGGAUUAGAUACCCUGGUAGUCCACGCAGUAAACGAUGAUUACUAGCUGUUUGCGAUACAAUGUAAGCGGCUGAGCGAAAGCGUUAAGUAAUCCACCUGGGGAGUACGUUCGCAAGAAUGAAACUCAAAGGAAUUGACGGGGGCCCGCACAAGCGGAGGAACAUGUGGUUUAAUUCGAUGAUACGCGAGGAACCUUACCCGGGCUUGAAAUGCAUCUGACCGGCCUUGAAAGAGGCUUUCCCCUUCGGGGCAGAUGUGUAGGUGCUGCAUGGUUGUUCGUCAGCUCGUGCCGUGGAGGUGUCGGCUUAAGGUGCCAUAACCGAGCGCAACCCCUCAUCAUUAGGUUACCCAUCAGGUCAGGCUGGGGGACUCUCUAAUGAAGAACUUGCCAUCGNAAGAUGUGAAGGAANGNUGGGNAUGACGUCAAAUCANNNNNGNCCCUUACNNUCNNGGGNCGAACNCNNNGUGUUUNNA
rnacentral:rRNA from 1 species